rnacentral:rRNA from 1 species
CCUACGGGUGGCAGCAGUGGGGAAUAUUGCGCAAUGGGCGAAAGCCUGACGCAGCGACGCCGCGUGAGGGAUGAAGGUCUUCGGAUCGUAAACCUCUGUCAGCAGGGAAGAACGGUCACUGUGCUAAUCAGCAGUGAAUUGACGGUACCUGCAAAGGAAGCACCGGCUAACUCCGUGCCAGCAGCCGCGGUAAUACGGAGGGUGCGAGCGUUAAUCGGAAUUACUGGGCGUAAAGCGCUCGUAGGCGGUAUGUCAAGUCAAGGGUGAAAUCCCCGCGCUCAACGUGGGAACUGCCUUUGAAACUGGCAAACUGGAGUGUGUGAGAGGAUAGUGGAAUUCCAGGUGUAGGAGUGGAAUCCGUAGAUAUCCGGAGGAACAUCAGUGGCGAAGGCGACUAUCCGGCACAUAACUGACGCUGAGGAGCGAAAGCGUGGGUAGCAAACAGGAUUAGAUACCCGGGUAGUC